GGAAACGUGCCCGAAAUUUAAGGAUCUCCUUGAUAGGGAGAAUUAUAUGGAUUAAACUCCAUCAUUUCC
rnacentral:tRNA from 1 species